AUUGAACGCUGGCGGCAGGCUUAACACAUGCAAGUCGAGCGAGCGGCGGACGGGUGAGUAAUGUCUGGGAAACUGCCUGAUGGAGGGGGAUAACUACUGGAAACGGUAGCUAAUACCGCAUACCAUCAGAUGUGCCCAGAUGGGUUUAGCUAGUGGGUGGGGUAAUGGCUCACCUAGGCGACGGUCCCUAGCUGGUCGGAGAGGAUGACCGGCAACACUGGAACUGAGACACGGUCAAGACUCCUACGGGAGGAGGAAGUGGGGAAUAUUGCACAAGGGGGGCAAGCCGGAUGCAGCAAUGCCGGGGGUGUGAAGAAGGCCUUCGGGUUGUAAAGCACGUUCAGCGAGGAGGCGGUACUCGAAGAGGAAGCACCGGCUAACUCCGUGCCAGCAGCCGCGGUAAUAC
rnacentral:rRNA from 1 species